ACGGCUCAGUAACACGUGGUCAACAUACCCAGAGGACGUGGAUAACCUCGGGAAACUGAGGAUAAACCGCGAUAGACCAUAAUGUCUGGAAUGAUUUAUGGUUCAAAUCUAUAUGGCCUCUGGAUUGGACUGCGGCCGAUCAGGCUGUUGGUGAGGUAAUGGCCCACCAAACCUGAAACCGGUACGGGCUCUGAGAGGAGAAGCCCGGAGAUGGGCACUGAGACAAGGGCCCAGGCCCUAUGGGGCGCAGCAGGCGCGAAACCUUUGCAAUAGGCGAAAGCCUGACAAGGUUACUCUGAGUGAUCUCCGCUAAGGAAAUCUUUUGACACCUCUAAAAAUGGUGCAGAAUAAGGGGUGGGCAAGCCUGGUGUCAGCCGCCGCGGUAAUACCAGCACCCCGAGUGGUCGGGACGAUUAUUGGGCCUAAAGCAUCCGUAGCCGGUUCUACAAGUCUUCCGUUAAAUCCACCUGCUUAACAGAUGGGCUGCAGAGGAUACUAUAGAGCUAGGAGGCGGGAGAGGCAAGCGGUACUCAGUGGGUAGGGGUAAAAUCCGUUGAUCCACUGAAGACCACCAGUGGCGAAGGCGGCUUGCCAGAACGCGCUCGACGGUGAGGGAUGAAAGCUGGGGGAGCAAACCGGAUUAGAUACCCGGGUAGUCCCAGCUGUAAACGAUGCAGACUCGGUGAUGAAUAGGCUUAGUGCCUAUUCAGUGCCGCAGGGAAGCCGUUAAGUCUGCCGCCUGGGGAGUACGGUCGCAAGACUGAAACUUAAAGGAAUUGGCGGGGGAG
rnacentral:rRNA from 1 species